AAAUUGUCGUAUUGACACGUUUAAACAGAACUGCAUACUGUAGAUAGAUAAGCUUAUAUGUUAUGUUUUGUUAUAGCUGACUGAGUCUGCAGUGCUAUGACUUUUGCUUGGAUCUAAUGCAUUUUGUGGUGUGUAUGUUCACAGAAGGUCAUUAUCUAAUUGUAAUACACUUAUCAAUACAUAUCCGAGGGGGAGGAAAAAUGAGGAAGGGAUGGAGAUCUGACAAAUUUUGGGUAAAAUUCCAUGGGUUGG
rnacentral:lncRNA from 1 species